AGUCACUAACCUGACGAAUGAAAGCAAUAUUUGCUUGCCUAUAUUUAGAGGGUCGAGCAUCAAAUGAGGAACAUGCCCCACACAAACAUACUAAAUAUUGUCCUGCAAGCAAUUACUAAAAAUGCUCUCUUGUGCUGUAUUUAUGCAAAUAACAUGUACGCUAAAUAAGCCUUAAAUUGAUAUUGGAAUGUAAGUGCCUUGAAGUUUUGGGAAACUCCCAAUAUACUGUUUUGAAGACUGACAUAUGUUGUAACAACUAAUAAUGC